UUCUUUUUUAGUCCUUUUUUGCAGGGGAAACUGAGACGCAAGUGUGAGUUUUGUCAUUUUGAUUCUUUGGCAAGUAGUUAUAUGUGUAGUCUGCAGAGUUUGGCUUGCCACACAAAAGAGUAAUUGGGACGAAAAAACUUACCCGCAACUAUUGUAACUAUAUUAUUUUAUCAUGGUUAAGUGAUAAAUAGAGACGACAAUAUACGUCAUUUAACCAUGAUUAGUGAUAAGUACACAUACAUGAAAGAGACAUGUCAUGUGUUUAUUCAUUUUAUGAAAACAUUCG
rnacentral:misc_RNA from 1 species